UGGGGAAUUUUGGACAAUGGGCGAAAGCCUGAUCCAGCAAUGCCGCGUGUGUGAAGAAGGCCUUCGGGUUGUAAAGCACUUUUGUCCGGAAAGAAAUCCUCUGGGUUAAUACCUCGGGGGGAUGACGGUACCGGAAGAAUAAGCACCGGCUAACUACGUGCCAGCAGCCGCGGUAAUACGUAGGGUGCAAGCGUUAAUCGGAAUUACUGGGCGUAAAGCGUGCGCAGGCGGUUUGCUAAGACCGAUGUGAAAUCCCCGGGCUCAACCUGGGAACUGCAUUGGUGACUGGCAGGCUAGAGUAUGGCAGAGGGAGGUAGAAUUCCACGUGUAGCAGUGAAAUGCGUAGAGAUGUGGAGGAAUACCGAUGGCGAAGGCAGCCCCCUGGGCCAAUACUGACGCUCAUGCACGAAAGCGUGGGGAGCAAACAGGAUUAGAUACCCUGGUAGUCCACGCCCUAAACGAUGUCAACUAGUUGUUGGGGAUUCAUUUCCUUAGUAACGUAGCUAACGCGUGAAGUUGACCGCCUGGGGAGUACGGUCGCAAGAUUAAAACUCAAAGGAAUUGACGGGGUCAUAGCUGUUUCCU
rnacentral:rRNA from 1 species